UCCCGCUUAGCUCAGUGGUAGAGCGCAUCACUAGUACCGGUCACGUGACUGAAAGGGCUAUGAUGAGGUCAGUUGUUCGAAUCAGCUAGUGGGAA